rnacentral:rRNA from 1 species
GAGUUUGAUCCUGGCUCAGGACGAACGCUGGCGGCGUGCUUAACACAUGCAAGUCGAACGGAGCGCCCUUGAAUGAGGUUUCGGCCAAAUGAAAGGAAUGCUUAGUGGCGGACUGGUGAGUAACGCGUGAGGAACCUGCCUUUCAGAGGGGGGCAACAGCUGGAAACGGCUGCUAAUACCGCAUGACGCAUUCGGAUGGCAUCAUCUGAAUGCCAAAGAUUUAUCGCUGAAAGAUGGCCUCGCGUCUGAUUAGAUAGUUGGCGGGGUAACGGCCCACCAAGUCGACGAUCAGUAGCCGGACUGAGAGGUUGACCGGCCACAUUGGGACUGAGAUACGGCCCAGACUCCUACGGGAGGCAGCAGUGGGGAAUAUUGGGCAAUGGGCGCAAGCCUGACCCAGCAACGCCGCGUGAAGGAAGAAGGCUUUCGGGUUGUAAACUUCUUUUAAGAGGGAAGAGCAGAAGACGGUACCUCUUGAAUAAGCCACGGCUAACUACGUGCCAGCAGCCGCGGUAAUAC